GCCACUGUGUUGAAAUCGGUAGACAAACUUGACUCAAAAUCAAGCGCUUAGUAGGCGUGCCAGUUCGAAUCUGGCCAGUGGCACCA
rnacentral:tRNA from 2 species